GAAUCACUCUAACUCACUCCAUAGCUACCCCGACUCACUCCACGGCCCUAAACCUUAAAUCCACCGCCUCUGAAGGCCCGACUCUGGUGCGAAGCUUUCGAAGCCCUAAGUCGGAGAUUUGUCUUCGAAUCUGGUGUUGAGUUCGGGUUCUUCACAAAUCACUCUUUUGAUUUGGGGUUUUGACUAACUGGAGAUUCUGAUAAAGGCUGACGGAAGAUUUCAGUGGAUUGUUGUUGGACGAGAACCUGGUGGCACAAGCUAUCAAGCUACUGAUAGAAACGAAACAUGUUCUAAUAUCAAAUUUAUCAGCUAUCGGAAAUGGAACGCCUGAAGAAUUAGCAGAACAGUUCUGGUUUUCAUUUGUUUUGUUCUCGGUGAAAACAUUGAGUGAGAAGAGUUCUGAUAAUUCACAAAUUGAGAGCUGCUAAGCUGAAGAUCACUGCUAAGGCUUCGGAAGUUGCGCAUACUAUGUAUGCUGUUCUUAAUUAUAUAUCAGUUAUGGUGGUGAAGAUAGUGGUCAUCAGCAGUAUUUUAUCUGGGAUAUCAGCUGUGAGGAGGUUCAUACCAAAAGCUUGCCCAAAGGCUGAAGUUAAACCGUAUAAACUCCUCACUUUUUGUUCAAACCAAUGUACUUUAUUAUUGAUUAUCCUUUUCUUUUCUGGUUAAUUUGAACAUGACUCACUUGUGUUGUUCUUGAUGUCUCUAUAGCGACCUGGAGGAGGAAGAGCAAGCUAGUCAUGCUGAAAAGGAGAGGGAGUUGCUCAGACAUUUCCAUGAACAAUCUUUGAGGGCAAAGCUGAAAAACGAAAAGAAAGGUAGAGGCUUUUCUCAAGUGGGUUUUUGAGUGGGAUGUUGAAGAAGGCUUAUACGAGAUCCUUCAAUUCCUUGCAGAACAGCCUUGGUCUAAAGAACAAACUAGAUGUUAGAGAACUUGCAAUUCAUUUUGGGUGUGUUCGAAUCAUUCCUGUUGUGCAAAAGGUUUAUACCUGUUUCCUCCAACUGCUGCUACUGUGAGCUCCGCCCUACUCUUGGGUAUAUGCAGUCUCCCUGAUACCAUAUUUAGAAAUGCUGUGGAUAUGGCGCUGGCAGAUUCGGAGUGUAACAAGCAUGAGAAUUCCGAAUUGAGAUUGUCAUGUUUCUGUAACAAGGCUUUAGUCAAUGUUGGUACUGAUUUGGCAAAACUAGUUCCUGGCAGAGUGUCCACUGAGGUAGAUGCACGUCUUGCUUAUGACACGCAUGGAAUUAUAAGGAAGCAUGGCUCUGUGUAUAAGCUUGCGUUUGGACCGAAAGGAUUUGUUGUGGUAUAUAUCAGAUCCUAUUGUUGCAGGGCAUAUUUUUCGAGAAAAUGCAUUUGGUUAUAAUAAGGUUAUUGUGAAGGAAGGGAGACCUUUAAGUUCUGCUUCUUGGUUGCUUCUGUAAGUCAUUGAUGCACUGAAAAAUGUUGCAGUGAGGCAGCGGUGGAUUCUAAGAAUGUUGUAGCUGCCGUAAAUGCAAGUACUUGGAGCACCAAAUGAGAGUAUUUGGCUGCUGCAUAAUUAGCACAACAACUUCCUGUAUUUGGAGCACUGCAACAUCCUAGAACUCUUUCAAUGAGGAAGCCCAUUACUAUUCUUUAGGCCAUGGAGAGUGCCAAUGUUAUGAAGUGAAGCCUAAUUUUGAAGACAAAAGCUAAGAAGAGCAGGAGAUCAGUGAAUACUUGACUUGGAUUUUUUCUGUUCUCCUAUUUUGUAGAUACAAUUAGCAUUAUCAGACCCAUUUAGAUUGUUAUGGGAUUAUAACAACUAACUAUUAUGAUUAAUUUUCUGUUCUUUUGGUCA